rnacentral:rRNA from 1 species
CCCUUAGAUGUUCUGGGCCGCACGCGCGCUACACUGAUGAAUUCAACGAGCUCCUAACUUAGGCCGAAGGGUCCGGGUAAUCUUUGAAAUUUCAUCGUGAUGGGGAUAGAUUAUUGCAAUUAUUAAUCUUCAACGAGGAAUUCCUAGUAAGCGCGAGUCAUCAGCUCGCGUUGAUUACGUCCCUGCCCUUUGUACACACCGCCCGUCGCUCCUACCGAUUGAAUGGUCCGGUGAAAUGUUCGGACCGCGACAAGGCGGACGGUUCGCUGUCAGCUUUGCUGCGGGAAGUUCAUUAAACCUUAUCAUUUAGAGGAAGGAGAAGUCGUAACA